rnacentral:rRNA from 1 species
UACGGAGGGAGCUAGCGUUGUUCGGAAUUACUGGGCGUAAAGCGCACGUAGGCGGCUCAGCAAGUCAGGGGUGAAAUCCCGGGGCUCAACCCCGGAACUGCCCUUGAAACUGCUAGCUAGAAUCCUGGAGAGGCGAGUGGAAUUCCGAGUGUAGAGGUGAAAUUCGUAGAUAUUCGGAAGAACACCAGUGGCGAAGGCGACUCGCUGGACAGGUAUUGACGCUGAGGUGCGAAAGCGUGGGGAGCAAACAGGG